rnacentral:rRNA from 1 species
UACGGGAGGCAGCCGUGGGGAAUAUUGCACAAUGGGCGCAAGCCUGAUGCAGCCAUGCCGCGUGUAUGAAGAAGGCCUUCGGGUUGUAAAGUACUUUCAGUCGUGAGGAAGGUGUUAAGGUUAAUAACCUUAGCAAUUGACGUUAGCGACAGAAGAAGCACCGGCUAACUCCGUGCCAGCAGCCGCGGUAAUACGGAGGGUGCGAGCGUUAAUCGGAAUUACUGGGCGUAAAGGGCACGCAGGCGGUUAAUUAAGUUGGAUGUGAAAUCCCCCGGGCUUAACCUGGGAAUGGCAUUCAAGACUGGUUAGCUAGAGUCUUGUAGAGGGGGUAGAAUUCCAUGUGUAGCGGUGAAAUGCGUAGAGAUGUGGAGGAAUACCGGUGGCGAAGGCGGCCCCUGGACAAAGACUGACGCUCAUGUGCGAAAGCGUGGGGAGCAAACAGGGAUUGAUACC